GCUGAGGGUGCGCGCGGCGCGGGUCCGGCCGGGCCCCAGCUCCACCCGCUGCGUGUGGCCCACCUGCGGGGAGAGCGGCGGUGAGCUGGGGCCCGCCCCGCCCCGAGCCCCGUGCCCGGCCCCGCGGCCUUGCCUUGAUGCCCUCGAGGCGCGGCAGGGCGCGGGCGGGCGGCGGAGGAGGCGGCGGAGGAGCGGCGGCCGAGGCGGGGGGGCCGCUGCCGGCGUCGCCGGCGCUGAGGUGGACGAAGAGCAGCAGCCCCAGCACGUUGAGGACGUACAGUCUGGGAAGCCUGAGGACCAUCAGAGGUGAGGCAGCCAACGCAUAACACAAGCAAAGCUGAAAUGAAGAGCGCCGGAUGCACGGAUGGGGAGGUGGAAGGCGGGCAGGGAGAGACAAAUGCAACAAGGAAAAAAAAAGAGCAAAUAUUCCACAUCUGUAGCAGUAAUGCAUCAAAGGGAAUUUUGUACCUCCGAAUGAAUGGCUCCUGAGCCACUAAGCACCUACGGUCACAUAACCCUGCUGAUUUGAAUAGGGCUGUGUACCUGUUAAGAGGGGGAAAAAAAGCUAGCCUUGUCUUUUGAUAUUGCAUCUCCUGUUCUCCUUCCUGUUGUUGCUUUUCAAGCAGCGUCACUUUACACGAAGAGCCAACACUCCCUGUGCUCUGCAGGUUCUGUCCUGGAGUUUACAACUCUGCAUGACAUCUGUACAGCAGUCACCCUGCCUGGGCUGCAACAGCAACCAAGUCCCGUUGUUUUCCCAAAGAGCGUGGAAAUGGGAUUUGUGUGUGCAAACCAGAACAACCACCACCCUAAGAAAGGGUGUGAUUUGUUUUGUCUUAAAGCAAAUAGAACUGCUGACUAAAGCUUCAGAAAUUCUGAAAGAAUUAAGGGGCACUCAGUGCAACACGUAGUACUGUUCCUCAGCCAAGCAUCUCAUAGCAGUCCGUUCAGCACAUUUGGCCACAGCUAUAUAGUCCAGUUUUUCUACAAACAGGGAUUCAUGGCAAAGCAUUUUGUGGGGGCAAUGGAGAGGGAGGGAGGGAGAGAGGCAAAGAGGAGGUGGAGAGAGACAAAACCCCAUUCUAGUCUAGCCCAAAGCCUGGCAAUUAUGUAACAAAAGUGAGAGCUCUUUGGGAUUAGGAAACACCAAGUAUCUGUUCUGCAGAGAGACCGGGCAUUAUGCUAGUUACAUUUAGACAAGAACACCAGCUUUUAUCCUAGAUUAGUACUUUGCACGUUAAAAUCUUCAAAGAACAGUUUAAAUGUUAGUUCAACACACUGCAAACUGCUGGGUCUCAGCAAGCCCUCCCCUGAGCUAUCCCUCGCCCUCUGUCCAGUGUGCCCUGUGUCCCAAACUUUGACAAGCAUUUAGGAGGAGGAGAGAAAGGUACAUUUGACCAAUCUCUGGAAUAUAUUCUGAGCAGGGCACAAAGAUGCUGCUGCUGGGAGCAGAGGAGGGAAUGAAUUCAGGAGGCAGCGGCUGGAGCAAGGACAUAUCUACCCCCAUGGCUUCAGCCUAGAUGGGAGCCAAAAUAGCCCAGAGCAGAAGCAUAAGGAGCCAUGGCUGCAGAGACCUCGUACAGGUGCUGCUUCUGCUCCUAUCCCUGUUCCACUGCCAGCAGCUCUUUGGCAGCACGUUCCUGAGGAUAGAUCCUACAGCAGGGAAGGGAGGGAGGAAAGAGCAGGCCUCUCAGUUGGAAAAUUUCCACUGCGAGCGAGCAUGGCCACAGGAUUAGCUUUGAUGGCAGCUCUUCUCUUAAACCAAGCGUCUCUUGUUCAAAUCCAUCUGCCCAAUUAUACAUGCUGCAAAAACUUGGCUCACAUAUCUCAGGUACAUGAAAAAGGCUCCAACAGCAGUUAGCUUAUUUGGACAUGCAGGAAUUUAGUACUUUUUCCCCUUCAGUUUAAUCUUUGUCAAGUGAAAUUGUAUAAAGACAAUAGAGUAUACAGGGACACAUCAAAGGUUACGCUUCCAUGGACAGCAUGGAAGAGAAUCCCAUGAGUCCCCCACGGAAGUGAUUUCCCCAAAUCAGGCACUCCAGCUUCACCUUCACUGGCUGCAUACAGCGUGUUCGUGGUGCAGGUGACAUACAUGCUUGUGAAACCUUAACACGUGGCCUGCUUCCUAUAGCAAACAGGCAAGCAUCAGCAUUUAAGUAACCUUUUUCAUGUUAACCCCUACUAAGAUGAACUGGGUUUUCAUAUUUUUAUUUUAGUGUAUAUUUUACAUUAGAAAAAAGAAUGUUAAUAAAAAAGCUCCACAUGCUCCUAACAAUCAAUUUUCUGAUGAGUUCCCACCAGUAUUGAUACUAAUAUACAAAUAAAUUAAUUUUGCAAGUUAAUUCUCUGCCUGGCUUGGUGCAGGCCCUGCACAAGCAGUGCAUCUGUAUUCUAGUGCCUGUCCAACAUGUGCCAGGGAGUGUGUUGUACAUAAUAUUUGCUCCUCAUAAAGUAGCGGAGUUUAGUUUCACAUCAAUUAAUGGGAUCAAAUUUUCUCAACCAUGUCACCCAGCAGGCACAAAUAUUCUUUACCAGAUUGCAUGGCACUGUUACGACAUGGAUUGUUUCACUCUGAAAAAGCCCCAAGCCUUGAUUAACAUCUGUAUGCUACAAUUCCCUCAUCACUCACUUUGGCAAUACAACACCCUCCCCACAAAAACAAGCAAAGCAAAAAAUCUAUAUGGAAGACCUAAAAUUUAUCAAAUGCAGAAUCUGACCUGACUUAGUGAUAACCUGCUCUCUCCCCUACAAUUCCUCUGCUUGUGUUUGUUUGUGUAGCAAGAUUUUGCACAGCUGAUAUUCAAGAAGAGGUGCCACAUGUAAUUGGACUAAGUCACAGACGCUGCUGGGACUGCCAGAUCAGACACAGCAGCAGCCAUUCUUAGCACCAGCCACUCUCCUCAUGCAAUGCCAAUGCUACAACGUCCUGGUUAAAGGAGCAUCAAGAAAUC
rnacentral:lncRNA from 1 species